rnacentral:misc_RNA from 1 species
GAUGAAGAACGUAGCGAAAUGCGAUAAGUAAUGUGAAUUGCAGAAUUCAGUGAAUCAUCGAAUCUUUGAACGCACAUUGCGCCCCUUGGUAUUCCGAGGGGCAUGCCUGUUCGAGCGUCAUUUUGACCACUCCCGCUUGCGGGGUCUUGGGCCUUCGCCUCUGGGCGGGCCUUAAAAUCAGUGGCGGUGCCGUCCGGCUUUAAGCGUAGUAAAUCUCCUCGCUAUAGGGUUCCGGAGGGAUGCUGGCCAACAACCCCCAACUUUUAAGGUUGACCUCGGAUCAGGUAGGGAUACCCGCUGACUUAAGCAUAUCAAUAAGCGGAGGA